rnacentral:rRNA from 1 species
AAUAGAUACCCUGGUAGUCCACGCCGUAAACGAUGAGUGCUAAGUGUUAGAGGGUUUCCGCCCUUUAGUGCUGCAGCUAACGCAUUAAGCACUCCGCCUGGGGAGUACGGCCGCAAGGCUGAAACUCAAAGGAAUUGACGGGGGCCCGCACAAGCGGUGGAGCAUGUGGUUUAAUUCGAAGCAACGCGAAGAACCUUACCAGGUCUUGACAUCCUCUGCCACUCCUAGAGAUAGGACGUUCCCCUUCGGGGGACAGAGUGACAGGUGGUGCAUGGUUGUCGUCAGCUCGUGUCGUGAGAUGUUGGGUUAAGUCCCGCAACGAGCGCAACCCUUGAUCUUAGUUGCCAGCAUUCAGUUGGGCACUCUAAGGUGACUGCCGGUGACAAACCGGAGGAAGGUGGGGAUGACGUCAAAUCAUCAUGCCCCUUAUGACCUGGGCUACACACGUGCUACAAUGGAUGGUACAAAGAGCUGCGAACCCGCGAGGGUAAGCCAAUCUCAUAAAGCCAUUCUCAGUUCGGAUUG